GGGAGGGGGCCGGGCUAGCGGGCUACUGGGCUGCGGAGACCAGAGCCCGGCUCCACUGAAGAAACCCGCCGGCUGCUGGGGCAGGGCGGCGAAAGGUCAGUCGGCCGAGAGGAGUCCGUGGAGCCACCGUUUCAUAGCCUCAGGGAAAGGAUCGGGCGUGCUCACGAGCCCUCUAACCCAUGGCUUAAACACCCGCUUCCUAAGCCUGGUUCCUGAAUAUAUCACAUGUGGUGAUAAACAUGAAGAUGUAUGAAAAAUUGUGUUCGUUGAGAGAAAAUGGAAGGCUUUUCAUUCUACUUCCACAUUUUCAUUCCAGCAGCUUUUCUGUUUUGGAAGAUGAGUACUGAAUCUUGCAAUGAAAUUUUUUUAACUUAAACAAGACAAGGAAAAUGAAGCGCAGAGACGUUAAAUAACUCUCUCAAGGUCAUGCAGCUGAGAAGAGAUGAGACUUGAACUCCAGUGCCAGCCCUGUUAAUCACUAUUCUGUACUGUCUUUCAGGUUCUUAUGCCUUUGUUUGAAAAACAUGGUUCCCUGUGAAAUUUUACAUGUAGAAGAAAGCUUCACACUACGAGAGCUCUCAGGAUAUAAUUAUUUCAGACAGAUACUGGGAACAUAAGAUGGCUUAUCAAUCUAAGAUGGCCUUCCUGUCCUUCGGAUUGAACUGAAACCAUCCCUGAUUCCAGGGAUAGGUAGAUGAUCCAGGUUUGGACAAUCAAAAUAUUGAACCACCCUGGACCUACAAGUGUUUCUGGGAUGGGAACAUGCAAACGUUGGUCCAAAUUGUUGUUCUAGGCAGCCCAGUACAUUUCUCCAAUGCCUGAUGGAAUGAUAGGGUAUGCAUAAAUGUUCAUGUGGGCUCUGGAGUAUACCAGGAACUGAAGUAAGGUACAUGGACGUCUUGAAUAUUGUAACUGAGAUGGGCAAGCCUACACCUUUGCAAAUAAAGGAGGAUUGGGAAAGAUUAAGAUCCUGUUAAACGUCAGUGUUACUAUUUAGCCUUUGAUAUCUCCAGUAAAGGCAACUUCUUUCUGGACCCAGAAAUAAAGCUUUACAUUAGCAGCUUCCAUAACACCAAUAACAUGAAUGACCAUCUACUGAGCAAUUGCAGUGCACCAGGAUUAUGGCUUAUGAGCACUUUAUGUUUAUUAUCUCACAACUCACUGAGUUAGAUACUCUCCACAACCCAGUGAGAGACGGGGGGUCUCACUAUGUUGUCCAGACUAGAUUCGAGCCCCUGAGCUCAAGGGAUUCUCCAGCCCCAGCCUCCCGAGUAGCUGGAACUGCAGGCACCCGCCACCACGCCCAGGGACAGUUACUUGAUUCUUAAUAGUCCAGUCAUAAUGAGACAGGAUACUGCAUAAGCCAAAGACCACACAAAGUAUCAAUGCCUCUCAAGCACUGUGAAAAAUCACUUUCUCUUGUUGUAUUCUUGGAGCCCCUGCUAAUUCAUUAUUGAAAAAUACCUGCUGCCUGCAUUUGGCCUUAUGUUGUCAUUUACUUGGGUCUGUGCAUGGCGUUUAGAAGGCUACACCUUAGGCUGGGGGUCAAGAAUGUCUUCCCUGAUGUGAGGUUUACACAGAGAUCUGAAGAAUGAAGAGUCCAGCUAAGGUACUUCCUAAGCGUGGCUACUCCAAUGAAGCUUUAGUAUAUGUACUGAAAGAAGAUCCUCUCAUACUGCCACAGCCAAGAGAUAAGGUUGUAAAUCUUUAUUGGGAGAAGCCGUCAAGGACAGUUCUGUGAAAUGAAAGGAUCUCUGGAUCACCACAAAGUCUGGCUCAGUGACUAUGGCUUUGCAAACACUAAACAUUCCUGUCUCAAGUCCUGUAGAUGGCUUGAAAUAGUAUACAUAAGCAUGCCUUAUAAACAUCUUCAGUCUUUAUCAACUCUUUGGAGAUUCAGCCAUUCUUUUUUGUACUUUAGGGAAUUAAAUCAUUUUAUAAUGUAUAAAUCUGAGCAUGGCCGAUGGCAGAAGAAAUUUUGUCAUACGUUUUUAAAGAAAUAAAAAUGUAUUAUGUUUUAA
rnacentral:lncRNA from 1 species